CGAAGGGUGGCAUGCGGCAAUGUCUGGGACCAGCGAGGAAGAUGACCGGUGUACAUCCUUUGGUAUAAAGUUGAAGACAUGGUGAGUCUUGUGGCGCGAAGCCAACAACACGCAGCGGCAAGUCGAGCACACUGGCCUGAGCCGCAAUACACCAACACCAUCAGGAGUUCGAAUUAUUCUGUACCUCAAGAGAGAGGAACAACGGACAUUGAGGAUUGCGGUGGCUGAUUUUUUAAUUUGUGUUUGCCUCAAGGAUUCUCAUUUAUCUUAACUUCCAUUUACUCAAGACAAUUACAACAUUGCUUCAUGACGAAGUAAAAUAAAAGCUUAUGACAGAAGAAACAUGCUUUGAUAGGCGUCCUUGUCGACCUCGCAG